rnacentral:rRNA from 1 species
GACAGCAGCCGCCGCGGUAACACGAGGGGGGCAAGCGUUGUUCGGAAUUAUUGGGCGUAAAGGGUGCGUAGGCGGCUUGACAAGUCUUGUGUGAAAUCUAUGGGCUCAACCCAUAGUCUGCACGGGAAACUGUCGGGCUUGAGAAUGGGAGAGGUGAGUGGAAUUUCCGGUGUAGCGGUGAAAUGCGUAGAUAUCGGAAGGAACACCUGUGGCGAAAGCGGCUCACUGGACCAUUUCUGACGCUGAUGCACGAAAGCUAGGGGAGCAAACAGGAUUAGAUACCCCAGUAGUCCCUGUCUCUUAUAC